UGGCCGGGAGCGGGGGGAGGGGAGCCAAGAGUAACAAAGGGAGCCCGCGGCCGGGUUUGUUUGGAUUGCCCGGGCGGCGCGGGAGCGGCCGGGCGCAGCUGACCACGGGUACAGAUAGGUUAAUUUCCACAUGGAGCGGCAGAAACCCAAUCCGCGGGUUGCGAAGCGUGGGUCAGCCAAGGCACGUUAAUCUGUUUAGCAUGUGCGCCGCGCGGAGGAGCCAGACCACCGGGGCGCAGGAGGCGCGGCCGCAGCCGCGCUGCUCCGGGGGAGUUAAUAAAGAGCUUAAGCAUCGCGUUCUGUUGGACAGAGAGCCCCAGGACUGUCAGACGGCGAAGGGUUAGGAAGUGCGCGCAGCCUCGCCGACCCCUGCCCAGUCCGAGAACCAGAGCUGUUGUCGAUCGAGGGCCCGGCCGUUGCGCCCGGGGCGCGCGGGCCUCGCUGAGUCGCGACGAGUCCCUGCGCCUCCUCCCAGACGCGGCGCCACCGAGAGAGAGACCACCGGCUCCCGCUUCAUUUCAGGGGCUGACAAGGGGAAAACACUACUGCGCCCCUGGCCGAAGGAGGUAA
rnacentral:lncRNA from 1 species